rnacentral:miRNA from 1 species
UCAUGGAAAAUUGGUUAA